GGAAGGGGCGGGGCUUGCGAGCUCCGGCUCCGCGAGUCCUUCUUUUUUGCACACACACGAAUACAAAGAGCCAUACGACCUUCGGGUAUCCUUUUUCCAUUUUUUUUUCGCCUUCAUCUUGUGUGUGUUUUCAGAUUUUUUUAAAAAUUGAGAUCUGUGGCAGUGCUGGGAUUGGUGCACAAUAAAUACUAGCUCCAUUCGGACCUUCUACAAGCUUUCUUUGUGCACCCCCGGCUGUCCUGAAACCACCUCUAACGACCGACCAGGCUGGCCCUCUGCCUCCAGAGUGCAGGGAUUAAAGGUUUGUGCCAUCACCAUGCAGCCUAGACUGGUCACUCUUAAAAUAUAGGGAAAGUGUAUUUUAUGGUAACUGCUCACUUGGUGUUGUGUGAUAACUCAUUUCUGAUAGGAACAGGUUUUGGUUUUUUGUUUUGUUUUGUUUUUUAAGGAUUUACUUAUUAUGUAUGCAGUGUUCUGUCUGCAUGUGUCCCUGCAGGCCAGAAGUGGGCACCAGAUCUCAUUACGGAUGGUUGUGAACCAUCAUGUGGUUGCUGGGAAUUGAACUCAGGACCACUGGAAGAGCAAGCAGCCAGUGCUCUUAACCUCUGAGCCAUCUCUCCAGCCCCUUCUUUUCUUUUUUGUGUGUUUUUUUUUGGCUUUGGUGUUGGUAGUUAUUGUUGUCGUCUUUGG
rnacentral:lncRNA from 1 species